AACUUGCUAUUUCUUUAUACUUGGGCUUGAAUAGCCUUGCCACUUACCACCCCAGGUACUCUUAAAGACAUGAUCUCUCAUCCCUCUGUUUCUUUCCCAUAUUUAGGUAAAGACUCCAGUCUUUAAUUGUAUAGCAAAAUUUAUCUUGAAAUACAUGUUUGCAUAUGAGGGAACUUGUUUGUAAUUCCGACAUUGGAAGAAAAGCAUGAAUCUUCCUCAAAUAAUUGCUUAUCAUGAGUUUUAUGUGCCUCAUAUUUCAGAGACUAUAUAGUAAGCUUGCACAGUACAGACAGGUUCUGAGGACAGUUUAUAUUGCAUUAUCACUGUUAACUGGUUCAUUGAUGUAUUCUUUUGAUUCCUCACUCCUAGACUAGGAAUGGAUAACUAUUUGGCUUUUAGAUAGAGAAGAUUGUGAGACAACUUUCUCUUAUCCUAGAAUGCCUUGUGUCUGUUGAUAGGCUGUCUCUCUGGGUAUCAUAUAUAAAGGUUGAUUGAUUUUCCAAGAGGACAACAUAAAUUUAGUUCAUAGUUAUGAGAUAAAGACUGUGUAAAUGUAUUACAUAUUAUGUUCAAGAGUUCAGAAAUAAGAUAAUGUACAUAUAUGAAUUUGUGUGUUAUGCUUUGAAUUUACUAUUUAAACUUAAAAUAUAUUGGAAUAUAAUUUGAAAAGUACUUGUUUCCUAGACCAGGAUUGUCAGACUCUCUAUCAGAUCAGAUAGUAUUUUAGGUUCUGUACAUUAUGUGAUCAUACUCACCUCAGACCCUGUAGCUCAGAAGAAGCCCAAGAUUUAAAAAAUAAUAA